GACGAACGCUGGCGGCGUGCUUAACACAUGCAAGUCGAACGCUGAAGCUCAGCUUUUGUUGGGUGGAUGAGUGGCGAACGGGUGAGUAACACGUGAGUAACCUGCCCCCUUCUUUGGGAUAACGCCCGGAAACGGGUGCUAAUACUGGAUAUUCACUGGUCUUCGCAUGGGGGUUGGUGGAAAGGGUUUUUCUGGUGGGGGAUGGGCUCGCGGCCUAUCAGCUUGUUGGUGGGGUGAUGGCCUACCAAGGCUUUGACGGGUAGCCGGCCUGAGAGGGUGACCGGUAACAUUGGGACUGAGAUACGGCCCAGACUCCUACGGGAGGCAGCAGUGGGGAAUAUUGCACAAUGGGCGCAAGCCUGAUGCAGCGACGCAGCGUGAGGGAUGGAGGCCUUCGGGUUGUGAACCUCUUUCGCUCAUGGUCAAGCCGCAACAAUGGUUGUGGUGAGGGUAGUGGGUAAAGAAGCGCCGGCUAACUACGUG
rnacentral:rRNA from 1 species